UUUCGUUUAAACUUGUCAACGGAUUAAUUAACUUUUUCUUUAAUUACUUUUAACUGUUUUUUUUUCUAUCAUUAACUAGAAGAUUAAUUAUAAUUGUGAAUCUGUGUGUUGACAAUUAAAAGAAGUAAAAAUUAAUCAUUAAUCUCUCUUUUGUUUUCUCUCAGUUAUGGUAUUUACAAGGGAAAGUAAUCAGGAGACAAUGACUUUCAACACUUGGUUUACUUUCUCCUUUUUUCUGUUUAUAGGAUUUGGUGGCUGAUUUUUUAUUCUUGUCGGACAUCAUCACAUAUUCUUGGUUAAUUAUAACUAUCGUGGUUAACGACUCAAUUUGGUAAUCAAAGGGACAAAGUGUUAGCUUUUCUGUUUCUGAUUGGGGCCUCUUAAGGAGAUUCUAACCUGAGGACAUUGAUUGUGAUAGAAACGGUGAUUUUUUAUUACUUCAAUUGAUCUGGAAAUCGUGAUUUGGAAAGACCAUCAUCAUCUUACAAAUUACCUUUUGGCCUCCCCAUGUUGUUUUCAUAUCACUUUGAUCAACUACUUGUUAAUCCAUCAAUAUCACCAUCAUCAUUAUAAUCAUCCGAGUUAUCAUGAUCAUGAUAAUCAUCUGAGUGUCCGAAAAGUUUUCUCUCUCAUCUAUUAUAAUAACAGUUAUAUGAUGAUGAUGAUGAUGAUGAUGAUGAUGCUGAUGAUGGGAUAAACACAGGAAGUGAUAAUAUGUUGAUACAAGCAUUGAAAAUUAUAAUAAUCAACAUGAUUAUCAACUUGUCAUGUUAUCAAUAGAUUUUCAUUGUUCUUACAUGACAAAAAUUCUUAUUUUCAUUUAUAUAUUACAUGUUGACCAUUGAUAUAAAAGUCCAUUGUAUCUUCUCAUGGGAAGUUAUAAUGUGUGUAGUAUUUUCCCUGAAUUAUCAUGAAAUAGAUUAAUUUGGUAUUACACUCAUGUAAAAAAUUAAUCAAAUUUCAUGAUUAUACCUCAGUGAUAGAUUGAUAGGAAAAAUAUUUAUUCCAAUCAAUGUAAUAGUUGAAUUAAUUUUGAUUGUAACUUAGCAGUUGAUCAACGUCAAUGAACAUCGUUUAUUUAUUUAUUUAUUUUUAAAUUGAUUAAGAUGAAUGAGUUAUUUCAUUAACUUUGAAUUGUUAUUUCAAUUUAAAAUCAAAUAAUAUUAUAUCCUCAUUAAUAUGAUCGUGAUAUGAUUUAGUUUAUUGUUAAUAUAAUAAUAUUAUUAAUAUAAAAUUAACUAAAUCAUUUGAAUAAUUGAUUUCUAUUCACUAACAAUAUCAUUAAUUUAAUCAAGAAGCUAAAUUAGAGGAAAGAUGAUCAACAAUAAGAUGAUGAUGAAGAUGAAAAUAGCCUGAGGAUUGUUUUCUCUUCAUUAUUUACCAAAGGAAUUUGAUAUUUACAUGAUAAAAAAAGGUAAACAAUCAAGACCAAUAGAAAAGAUGAUUAAUCAGAAAGUCCAAUGAACUUGAUUAAUUCAUUUCUUUUUCCAUGAAAAGGUAAUAUUAAUAGUUAAUAAAUAGAAAUUGAAAGAAUAGAUUCCCUGAGGAGGUCAGAGGUUACAUGUAUAAUCUUUCAUGUCUGGUUAUCUAUGGAAUCAAAUUUAAUGGAUUUAUUCAAUUAUUUGGUGUUUCAAUUUCAAUCUCUAUGUGUGUCCAUCAAGAAACAACAAGGAUAAUUUAAUCAUCCACCUCAGGAUACGAGAUUCUGCUUUUCUCUAACAUAAUUUAAUAAAUUGGCAACAGUUGAUGGUGAUAUAAGUGAUGGUGCAAACUCUUUACGUGGUGGUUUCGUUGGAAUAGCGUGUCUAUCAAUAUCGGAUAAUGAACAAUCACCUGUUGUAUUAUCGUAAUUAACUGAUCGACAUUUAAAUGAU